rnacentral:rRNA from 1 species
CCUACGGGAGGCAGCAGUGAGGAAUAUUGGACAAUGGGCGCAAGCCUGAUCCAGCCAUGCCGCGUGCAGGAUGACGGUCCUAUGGAUUGUAAACUGCUUUUAUACAGGAAGAAACAGUUCUACGUGUAGAACCUUGACGGUACUGUAAGAAUAAGGAUCGGCUAACUCCGUGCCAGCAGCCGCGGUAAU